UUCUUUGCUGGGCAUGAUGUAGUGAAUUUGGGGGAUGAUUAUGAAGAUGUAGUUGAGGUGAAUGAGGGUCUGCCUGGAAAUGGUGGAGAUGAUUUGGCUGAUGUUCCGUUAAGGCAGGAAUCUGAAAAUGGUUUACAGAAUGCUAUACCACAUUCUGUUAAGAGGUGUCUGUUGGAAGAAGAUGUUUAGUUUGUUUGUUUUUACUGGGUGUAAGGUUUCAUGUGCUUAUUCUACUACUUUGUGUUGUUCUAAAUUACUCUAAAAUCUGUGCCUAGGAUAUCUGCAUUGUGCAGCUAUUUAACUAGGCUAUAUUGUAUCUGGACUGAUCCUAUGUUAUGCAUAUAUGAUAUAUUUUGCAAUUCAGUGGAAGUUUACCUCUCAGUUCAACUACUUUGCUUUUCUCUUCCCCACAUUGGCUCCUCAUUGUUGUAUGUCAUUAUUUGGUGUGUAGAGUUCCUCAAUUGCAUCGCAUUGUUGAAGUAGUCUACAUUGAAAAAGAAAAAAGAUUAAACUGAGAAAA